rnacentral:rRNA from 1 species
GGAUAACCUACCCUUAGGACCGGGAUAACCUUGGGAAACUGAGGAUAAUACUGGAUAGGCAAUUUUUCCUGUAAUGGUUUUUUGUUUAAAUGUUUUUUCGCCUAAGGAUGGGUCUGCGGCCGAUUAGGUAGUUGGUUAGGUAAUGGCUUACCAAGCCGUUGAUCGGUACGGGUUGUGAGAGCAAGAGCCCGGAGAUGGAACCUGAGACAAGGUUCCAGGCCCUACGGGGUGCAGCAGGCGCGAAACCUCCGCAAUGUGAGAAAUCGCGACGGGGGGAUCCCAAGUGCCAUUCUUAACGGGAUGGCUUUUCAUUAGUGUAAAGAGCUUUUGGAAUAAGAGCUGGGCAAGACCGGUGCCAGCCGCCGCGGUAACACCGGCAGCUCUAGUGGUAACAAUUUUUAUUGGGCCUAAAGCGUCCGUAGCCGGUUUAAUAAGUCUCUGGUGAAAUCCUGUAGCUUAACUGUGGGAAUUGCUGGAGAUACUAUUAGACUUGAGACCGGGAGAGGUUAGAGGUACUCCCAGGGUAGAGGUGAAAUUCUGUAAUCCUGGGAGGACCGCCUGUUGCGAAGGCGUCUAACUGGAACGGUUCUGACGGUGAGGGACGAAAGUUAGGGGCGCGAACCGGAUUAGAUACCCGGGUAGUCCUAAC